GCCUGGGUGGCUCAGUCGGUUGAGCGUCCGACUUCCGCUCAGGUCACGAUCUCGCGGUCCGUGAGUUCAAGCCCCGCGUCAGGCU
rnacentral:tRNA from 1 species